AGCGAACGCUAGCGGCGGGCCUAACACAUGCAAGUCGAGCGGAGGGCAACCCUCAGCGGCGAACGGGUGAGUAACACGUAGGUAAUGUACCCUCUGGUGGGGAAUAACCGUGGGAAACCAUGGCUAAUACCGCAUAUGUCUUUCGAGAUGAAAGCAGCAAUGCGCCAGAGGAGCAGCCUGCGGCCGAUUAUUUAGUCCUAGUUGGUGAGGUAAUGGCUCACCAAGGGUACGAUCGGUAGCUGGUCUGAGAGGAUGAUCAGCCACACUGGAACUGAGACACGGUCCAGACUCCUACGGGAGGCAGCAGUGGGGAAUAUUGCGCAGUGGGCGAAAGCCUGACGCAGCCACGCCGCGUGAGCGAUGAA
rnacentral:rRNA from 1 species